rnacentral:rRNA from 1 species
AUGCACGCUGGCGGCGUGCCUAAUACAUGCAAGUCGAGCGAACGGACGAGAAGCUUGCUUCUCUGAUGUUAGCGGCGGACGGGUGAGUAACACGUGGAUAACCUACCUAUAAGACUGGGAUAACUUCGGGAAACCGGAGCUAAUACCGGAUAAUAUUUUGAACCGCAUGGUUCAAAAGUGAAAGACGGUCUUGCUGUCACUUAUAGAUGGAUCCGCGCUGCAUUAGCUAGUUGGUAAGGUAACGGCUUACCAAGGCAACGAUGCAUAGCCGACCUGAGAGGGUGAUCGGCCACACUGGAACUGAGACACGGUCCAGACUCCUACGGGAGGCAGCAGUAGGGAAUCUUCCGCAAUGGGCGAAAGCCUGACGGAGCAACGCCGCGUGAGUGAUGAAGGUCUUCGGAUCGUAAAACUCUGUUAUUAGGGAAGAACAUAUGCGUAAGUAACUGUGCACAUCUUGACGGUACCUAAUCAGAAAGCCACGGCUAACUACGUG